GGCGAACGGGUGAGUAACACGUAGGUGACCUGCCUCAAAGGUGGGGAUAACCACUGGAAACGGUGGCUAAUACCCAAUAGUCUCGGUGAUUUGGUUCACCGUGUAAAGCUCCGGCGCUUUGAGAGGGGCCUGCGGCCCAUCAGCUAGUUGGUAGGGUAACGGCCUACCAAGGCAGAGACGGGUAGGGGGCGUGAGAGCGUGACCCCCCACACUGGCACUGGGAUACGGGCCAGACUCCUACGGGAGGCAGCAGCGAGGAAUAUUGCGCAAUGAGCGAAAGCUAGACGCAGCAACGCCGCGUGGGUGAUGAAGGCCCUCGGGUCGUAAAACCCUUUUCUGAGGGAAGAGAAAGGACGGUACCUCAGGAAUAAGCCUCGGCUAACUAUGUGCCAGCAGCCGCGGUAACACAUAGGAGGCGAGCGUUAUCCGGAUUUACUGGGCGUAAAGUGCGUUGAGGCGGCUCUGUAAGUUGGACGUGAAAGCUCCUGGCCUAACUGGGAGAGGUCGUUCAAUACUGCAGAACUUGAGGACAGCAGAGGGGGGUGGAAUUCC
rnacentral:rRNA from 1 species